GAGUGCGGGGGGGACCUCCACCCCCCCGGGGGGUCCCUGCGCCUCCUGUGCCAAGGGUCCGGGUUCAGUUUUCGGGAUUAUGGAAUGUUCUGGAUCCGCCAGAGACCCGAGCAGGGUUUGGAAUAUGUCGCAAGCAUCUACUCCAAUAGUGCCUACACCUACUACGCGCCAUGGGUCGAGGGCCUGGUCACGAUCUCCAGGGACAACGGGCAGAGCUCGGUGACGCUGACCAUGAACAACCUCAAGGACGAGGAUUCCACCGUUUAUUUUUGCGGAAAAUCUGCUGGUACUGGUGAUGGUGGUGCUCUUGCUAAUUAG